GUGCUUGCUUCAACAGCACAUAUACUAAAAUUGGAACAAUAUGGAGAAGAUUAGCACGGCUGCUGUAAAAGGAUGACAUGCAGAUUUGUGGAGCAUUCUGUGAAAAC
ensembl:snRNA U6 U6 spliceosomal RNA